AGUUAUCCCAUUCCUCACGAUUGCUUUUAUUUUUUACUUUCGCCCGCUGUACAAAUGUAGGUAUGGGAAUGGCAUCGUCUAAAGUAGCAGCAGUUUCACGAUCUUUUCAGGCUAUGAAGCCUCACAUACCUUCAAUUAAGUUUCCAAACAGGGAAAAAGGACUAAACUCAGGUGUGGAGUUUGUUCCGUCUGCUGUUUCGUUAAGUUCACCAACUAAUUCAAGUAGUUCUAGUAAGUCGAUAGGAAGUU